ACCCAGGCACCCGAAACCCUCGCCUCCGAAGUCAACAUUCUCCUCCCCCAGCGUAGCUGCUGCCGCCGACCACCCUCUGCCUCCUCCCGCUUCCCAAUCAUGUGGAGCUCUUCCUAUCCCUCUGAAUGCUUCCUCCUCUCUGGCCAGGCUGUUGGUUUGGAAGGCACACCUGGGCAGGCCGGCGGAGUCUCACUGCUGCCACGCCGAAUCGGGGAUUGCCAGCUCCCCACCGCCAUGAAUCUGCCUCAGACCACCCCUCUUGACCUCGUCUUGUCUUCCCCACUGGCCGCCGGAGAUCUCAUGACGCCUCGACCGCUUUCACUGUUCGCUGCGACGGCCCGGCCUCUGCCGGCGACACUCCUCGCGAGAGGCAGCUAGAGAACCUCCGUCUCGUUCCUUUCCUCUCCCCGCGUCCAUGUCGGCGCCCUCCCUCUCCAAACUCGCAUCACAGCACCGUAGGAAACCAGCAGCUUGGAGGAGUGCGCGAGCUACGGCAGGUCGAUGUAGAGAUUGGUCACUGGAGUAGGUUCAGCGCCGGCGGCUAAUGCUGGAGAGAAGUUGUCUCCUUCCUUCCUCCUCUCAAGCCUCUUCCACUUCUACACAAGGAACAUGGAUGGCCGUCGCGGCACCUCGCGAGAGGAGGCAGGAGGACGGCGGCGGCAGCAGUCUGCUCCCGCCCGGUGGCUAACGGGGGAGAGAGAGAGGAGGCGACAUAGUAAGGAGGAGCAGUCGGAGGAGCUAGAGAGGCAGCAGUAAGAAGAGGUGAUGUGGAAGAUCAUCUCCUUGAAACCCCCUUUCCAUCAUCCUCUGGCUUGAGGACGCCAAUGUCAUUCUUGACCAAUACAAGCCAGGCAAGGGCACUCAUAAGCUCCUCUCCUCUCUCAUCCCCUACCCACAAUUUCUCAUCUUUAUUUCUGUUGAUGUUUUGUAUCUAUGCAUAUAACGUGUUUGAGGAAAAUCCAAACAGGCUGCAGGCACAAAUUUAUGUUGUAUGCUCAACAAGAAAUAUAAACCACGAUGUGAAUAAUGAAAUGCUGAGGUGUUCAUCAUGCUGACUCAGGUUUAACAAGACAUAAACACCAGCUUCUCUAUUUUUUUUUCCUUUUCCAGUAAUUGCACUAUGAUCCUAUUCCUGGUUCUUUGUCCCGUUCCUUGUGUGAAGCAGCAAAUUUAGAUAGGGCAUACCUUUUUUUAUUCAUGCACAUUGGUGCUAGAUUAACAACUUAACUUAAUGUUGUCAAACCUUACAAAAAAUAGGGACUAGGCAAGACAGGACUUGAACACUGUACACUAUGACUUGAAAAUUGCCUUUCAACCUCGCGACCAUUUUCUCAAGUUCCAAUUAUGUUGUUAAUCAUGGGCAUGUAGUACAUAUGGUUUUGAAACUUAUCAUUUUUCACUUAUCCAGCGCCGAGUAUACUUGGCCAUCCUUUGGGCCGGGACGGGCUUCUGGUAUGGCUUCGGGCUGAAUUUUCGCUAAUCCCUGUGUAUCACUUCAGACUGUACGUACUUGUUAUUUUCAUGUUCGACAGGCUAUCAAACAUUUACUGUGUGGACCCUGCUAUAAUUUUAUAACUCUGCAGACUGCAGCCAAAGCCACAAAGGAUGCAACAUAGUUACUGUUUUAUGGGAUGUUCAACAGAAGAAGUUUGCCAAUAUGUUCUACUCAUAUUUUGUAUUUUCCUAAUAUAUCCCACUAGGAGCUCAUGUUGGUUUAAUCCUUCUUCUGACAGGAGUUAACACUACCAACAUACAUGAGUUAAUUCUGACAUGUGGGAGCUGCUGGAGGGAUUGGUGGCUACAAAUCAUUGUUUCUCUACUAUCUACAAUUUGAAAAUACUGAUUUUGGAACCAGAUUCUCCAAUUGUGAUGAUCUAAUUCUUGCGAAUAAGCUUAUGGUUACUGGCACUCGAAAUUGCAUAUUUAAUAUCAGUUUUUUCUUAUGUAAAUGGAGAUCAACAGAGGUGAUGAAAAUGAGAUGCAUGAUAUAUAUCUUUUCGGGAUCACUUAUUCUCAGGGUAACGUUUGAGAGAAGCAUGUCACAGAUCUUCAGUUGGUAGAUUUUCUCCAGUAUGGCCCACAAAAUAGCAAGGGGCAGAAUGGGAAGGCCUUUGCUGCAAAAAAUAAGGAGGGUGAAUUGGAGUGUGCUACUGAAGAUCCUCUUUGCACCCUUCAAGAAGCAUUCGAGAAGGAAUACAAGAUCCAUGGUACUUGCAAAGUGUCAGCUAAUGGUGUACUUACAGGGUAUGUGCUUUGCUACAAGUUGCGCAACAUCGGACUCAAAGCUAGAAAAAAUGAUAGUUUCCUUGGCAAACUCAAAGAUUACCUCUGAAUCGCUGUGCUACUUUUCUAUGAUUGCUUUUCUUAACUCCCAGAUAACGUACAACCAUCAGGACCGCUGGCACAUGUGUUCGAACCAUCAGUUUUUCCUAAAUAUUUCCAGUGACAUGGCUGGAGUUUUUCUUAUGCAAAUGUGUUAGACCUACAUUCCAUAUUACAUUGUUUUGUAUCUCCAUCUAGGAGAGUACAGUCAAUUUUCUAACCUAAUUCUUUAGGCCCGGAAUGGUACAAACUAACAACUACUCCUCCGUUCCAUAUUAGUUGUCGCUAAUUUGGAUGUAUCUAGACACAUUUUGUGAA